AUUGAACGCUGGCGGCAUGUUUUACACAUGCAAGUCGAACGGUAACAGGGUGCUUGCACCGCUGACGAGUGGCGAACGGGUGAGUAAUGCGUCGGAACGUGCCGAGUAGUGGGGGAUAACGCAGCGAAGGUUGUGCUAAUACCGCAUACGUACUGAGGUAGAAAGUGGGGGACCUUCGGGCCUCACGCUAUUCGAGCGGCCGACGUCUGAUUAGCUAGUAGGUGAGGUAAAGGCUCACCUAGGCGACGAUCAGUAGCGGGUCUGAGAGGAUGAUCCGCCACAAUGGGACUGAGACACGGCCCAGACUCCUACGGGAGGCAGCAGUGGGGAAUUUUGGACAAUGGGCGAAAGCCUGAUCCAGCCAUGCCGCGUGUCUGAAGAAGGCCUUCGGGUUGUAAAGGACUUUUGUCAGGGAGGAAAUCCCUAGUGCUAAUAACACUGGGGGAUGACAGUACCUGAAGAAUAAGCACCGGCUAACUACGUGCCAGCCGCCGCCGUAA
rnacentral:rRNA from 1 species